rnacentral:rRNA from 1 species
GUUAAGCGACUAAGCGUACACGGUGGAUGCCCUGGCAGUCAGAGGCGAUGAAGGACGUGCUAAUCUGCGAUAAGCGUCGGUAAGGUGAUAUGAACCGUUAUAACCGGCGAUUUCCGAAUGGGGAAACCCAGUGUGAUUCGUCACACUAUCAUUAACUGAAUCCAUAGGUUAAUGAGGCGAACCGGGGGAACUGAAACAUCUAAGUACCCCGAGGAAAAGAAAUCAACCGAGAUUCCCCCAGUAGCGGCGAGCGAACGGGGAGCAGCCCAGAGCCUGAAUCAGUGUGUGUGUUAGUGGAAGCGUCUGGAAAGGCGUGCGAUACAGGGUGACAGCCCCGUACACAAAAAUGCACAUACUGUGAGCUCGAUGAGUAGGGCGGGACACGUGGUAUCCUGUCUGAAUAUGGGGGGACCAUCCUCCAAGGCUAAAUACUCCUGACUGACCGAUAGUGAACCAGUACCGUGAGGGAAAGGCGAAAAGAACCCCGGCGAGGGGAGUGAAAAAGAACCUGAAACCGUGUACGUACAAGCAGUGGGAGCACGCUUAGGCGUGUGACUGCGUACCUUUUGUAUAAUGGG